CCAGACUCCUACGGGAGGCAGCAGUGAGGAAUAUUGGUCAAUGGCCGAAGGGCUGAACCAGCCAAGCCGCGUGAAGGAAUAAGGCCCUACGGGUCGUAAACUUCUUUAGUCAGGGAACAAAGGGUGCCACGCGUGGCGCUGUGAGUGUACCUGAAGAAUAAGCAUCGGCUAACUCCGUGCCAGCAGCCGCGGUAAUACGGAGGAUGCGAGCGUUAUCCGGAUUUAUUGGGGUUAAAGGGUGCGUAGGCGGUUAAGCAAGUCUGAAGGAAAAACCCAGGGCUCAACCCGGGGACCGCCGUUGAAACUGGCGAACUAGAGAGGGAGAGAAGUAGGCGGAAUGCGCAGUGUAGCGGUGAAAUGCAUAGAUAUUGCGCAGAACUCCGAUUGCGAAGGCAGCCUACCGGCUCCUAUCUGACGCUGAGGCACGAAAGCGUGGGUAUCGAACAGGAUUAGAUACCCCAGUA
rnacentral:rRNA from 1 species